rnacentral:rRNA from 1 species
AUCAUGGCUCAGGAUGAACGCUAGCGGCAGGCUUAACACAUGCAAGUCGAGGGGUAUAGUAGCAAUACUAGAGACCGGCGCACGGGUGCGUAACGCGUAUGCAAUCUACCUUUCACAGAGGGAUAGCCCAGAGAAAUUUGGAUUAAUACCUCAUAGUAUAGUACCUUGGCAUCAAGGAAUUAUUAAAGUCACAACGGUGAAAGAUGAGCAUGCGUCCCAUUAGCUAGUUGGUAAGGUAACGGCUUACCAAGGCGACGAUGGGUAGGGGUCCUGAGAGGGAGAUCCCCCACACUGGUACUGAGACACGGACCAGACUCCUACGGGAGGCAGCAGUGAGGAAUAUUGGACAAUGGGCGCAAGCCUGAUCCAGCCAUGCCGCGUGCAGGAUGACGGUCCUAUGGAUUGUAAACUGCUUUUGUACAGGAAGAAACACUCCCUCGUGAGGGAGCUUGACGGUACUGUAAGAAUAAGGAUCGGCUAACUCCGUGCCAGCAGCCGCGGUAAUACGGAGGAUCCAAGCGUUAUCCGGAAUCAUUGGGUUUAAAGGGUCCGUAGGCGGCUUUAUAAGUCAGUGGUGAAAUCUCCCCGCUCAACGGGGAAACGGCCAUUGAUACUGUAAGGCUUGAAUUAUUAGGAAGUAACUAGAAUAUGUAGUGUAGCGGUGAAAUGCUUAGAGAUUACAUGGAAUACCAAUUGCGAAGGCAGGUUACUACUAAUGGAUUGACGCUGAUGGACGAAAGCGUGGGUAGCGAACAGGAUUAGAUACCCUGGUAGUCCACGCCGUAAACGAUGGAUACUAGCUGUUGGGUGCAAACUCAGUGGCUAAGCGAAAGUGAUAAGUAUCCCACCUGGGGAGUACGGUUCGCAAGGAAUGAAACUCAAAUGAAUUGACGGGGGCCCGCACAAGCGGUGGAGCAUGUGGUUUAAUUUCGAUGAUACGCGAAGAACCUUCCAAGGCUUAAAUGUAGAUUGACCGGUUUGGAAACAGAUCUUUCGCAAGACAAUUUACAAGGUGCUGCAUGGUUGUCGUCAGCUCGUGCCGUGAGGUGUCAGGUUAAGUCCUAUAACGAGCGCAACCCCUGUCGUUAGUUGCCAGCGAGUCAUGUCGGGAACUCUAACGAGACUGCCAGUGCAAACUGAGAGGAAGGUGGGGAUGACGUCAAAUCAUCACGGCCCUUACGCCUUGGGCUACACACGUGCUACAAUGGCCGGUACAGAGAGCAGCCACUGGGCGACCAGGAGCGAAUCUACAAAACCGGUCACAGUUCGGAUCGGAGUCUGCAACUCGACUCCGUGAAGCUGGAAUCGCUAGUAAUCGGAUAUCAGCCAUGAUCCGGUGAAUACGUUCCCGGGCCUUGUACACACCGCCCGUCAAGCCAUGGAAGCUGGGGGUGCCU